rnacentral:rRNA from 1 species
GUGCCAGCCGCCGCGGUAAUACGGAGGGUGCAAGCGUUAUCCGGAUUUAUUGGGUUUAAAGGGUGCGUAGGCGGCCCGUUAAGUCAGUAGUGAAAACCUGCGGCUCAACCGUAGGCGUGCCAUUGAAACUGACAGGCUUGAGUMACCAUGAGGCAGGCGGAAUGUGUAGUGUAGCGGUGAAAUGCUUAGAUAUUACACAGAACACCGAUUGCGUCAGGCAGUCUUGCUAAAGGUUCACUGACGACUGAUGCACGAAAUGCGUGGGGAUCGAACAGGGUUAGCACUAUCCCUGGUAGUCCACGCCGUAAACGAUGAUAACUCGCUGUUAGGCGAUACACAGUCAGCGGCUUAGCGAAAGCGUUAAGUUAUCCACCUGGGGAGUACGCUCGCAAGAGUGAAACUCAAAGGAAUUGACGG